AUUGAACGCUGGCGGCAGGCCUAACACAUGCAAGUCGAACGAGUGGCGGACGGGUGAGUAAUGUCUGGGAAACUGCAUGAAGGAGGGGGAUAACUACUGGAAACGGUAGCUAAUACCGCAUACCAUCGGAUGUGCCCUGAUGGGAUUAGCUAGUAUGUGGGGUAAAGGCACACCUAGGCGACGAUCCCUACCUGGUCUGAGAGGAGGACCAGUCACACUGGAACUGAGACACGGUCCAGACUCCUACGGGAGGCAGCAGUGGGGAAUAUUGCACAAUGGGGGCAAGCCGGAUGCAGCCAUGCCGCGUGUAUGAAGAAGGCCUGCGGAUUGUAAAGUACUUUCAGCGGGGAGGCGUUACCAGCAGAAGAAGCACCGGCUAACUCCGUGCCAGCAGCCGCGGUAAUAC
rnacentral:rRNA from 1 species